rnacentral:rRNA from 1 species
GAUGAACGCUGGCGGCGUGCUUAACACAUGCAAGUCGAACGAAUCACUUUAUUUGAUUUCCUUCGGGACUGAUUAUUUUGUGACUGAGUGGCGGACGGGUGAGUAACGCGUGGGUAACCUGCCUUGUACAGGGGGAUAACAGUUGGUAACGGCUGCUAAUACUGCAUAAGCGCCCAGCAUCGCAUGAUGCAGUGUGGAAAACUCCGGGGGUUUAAGAUGUACCGGCGUUGGGUUAGCUAGUGGGUGAGGUAAAUGCCCACUAAGGGGACGAGCCAUAGCCGAGAUGGGAGGGUGACCGGCCACAUUGGAACUGGGACACGGUCCAGACUCCUACGGGAGGGAGGAGUGGGGAAUAUUGCACAAUGGGCGAAAGCCUGAUGCAGCGACGCCGCGUGAGCGAAGAAGUAUUUCGGUAUGUAAAGCUCUAUAAGCAGGGAAGAUAAUGACGGUACCUGAAGAAGAAGCACCGGCUAAAUACGUG